AAGUGGCUGCCAUUAUGCCUUUCCUUCCACUGUGACUAACCUGCUUACUUCUACUCCACAGAUAAAAAUAUUACUCCAGCUCUUAUAAGAGUUGUUGGGGAUGAACAAAACAACAAUCAACAACAAAUCACCUUUAAGCUAAAUUCAACAUUCAAAAGUGGAGAAAGGUGAGACAGCUUUUAAAAAAUGAAGAAGAAAAAGAAGGAAAAGAAAUGACAGUCUGAAAGUUGAAAGCUCCUGAGUUUCUACAAGACUUGUUCUCACAGAAGAGGAGACACUAAUACCAUGUCCUAAUCACUGUAGUUCCUGCUAGAUAAAGGGACAGCUUUCCACAGAUGAACAGCAGCCUACAAAUGUCUCCCCUGUUGAGAGCCACCUUGGGAGCUGGCACUUUUCAUUCUGACCUGCCCAGCAUCAGACAUCACCAGAUCGAUGACAUACACUCCACAAGGGAUUGAGGUUCUGGCAGCCAGUUUGAUCAUAAAAUUAAAAGCUCUUUCUGGAGUGCAGGAACCUGAGAGGAGGAUGCUCUUCCUCCCCCUCCCAACACUGUCCGGCUGCCCUCUCAUACCUCCUUCCACUGCAACAAGCACAGAGACUGAUGUUAAUAGGUCAGUGGGUAACAGAGUAACAGAGUGGUGGAUCAGAUUAUAUUUAGGGAUCCAGAACAGCCCUCCCCCUCCAUUAGCAAUGAAUUAUAAUGAGGACCAUAAUUUGGAGACAUCAGUUCAGACUGUUACUCUACAUAGAGCACCACCUAGCUGUCCCCAGAGUAUGAUGUCCCAAACUCUCUUUCAGUGGUGA
rnacentral:lncRNA from 1 species